CCUCGCUUCGCCCCCCAUAAAUGACAAAUGGGGACAAUGAAAAAAAAGGGACAUGUUUAUGUCCAAAAAAUUACAAAUUUUAAAGUAUCAAAAAAACUAGUCUAUUUGGACACCUGAUCUUCAAAAAAAUUUAAUCAAGUUAUAUUUGAAAAAAUCUCAUAAAAUCUCUGAAUAACUUGGAAUUUUUGUUGUACAUAAUCAGGUAUUAUUCGUACCUAUAGCUCAAGUAGGAAUGUUAUUUCAAAAACCGAUUGUAAAGUACCUAAAUCCGCAUUGUCAAGUGCUUAUAUGUGAUUUUAUAUUCUUUUCAUUUAAAGUAAAUAGGCACAUCAAAUUUGUAUAAAAAUCGCAUUACUAAUCAUGAGAUAUCUAUAAGUAACGAUUUUAGCGUCUUUUGCAUUUUUUUAUCUGCUAGCUAAAAGGUUACAACACUCGUAAAAUUGAGUAUGUAAAGCGCUGUCACAUAUAAAGAAUAAUAGCACAGCAAUUAAGAGGCGUCAUUAAAUCUGAAAGGUCCUGGGUUCGAACUUCGACCAAGCAGGCAGUGCCGGAUUAAGAGUCCAGUGAUUUGGGACUGAGUGACUGCAAAAAUUCAAUAGCCUACUGGCAGCAAAUUCGUAAAUCCGCCACUGAAUCGACGACUCUAAAGCGAAACGAACCUUUUAGUACAAAGCUGCUUAUUCUAAGCUAACUACCGGACAAUCAAAGAAAUGUAAAAAUCUUUUAUUUUUUACAAGUUGAUGAUGCAAAGUGUAGUGACUUACCUACGGCUACAUAAUUGGUAUUGAAUAGUAGUUAGGUAAUAUGUACAAAACUUACCCAUGUCGUUAUUCAAGUAAAUAGGCUCUAUACAAAGUUUAAACAAAGCAAUAGACCCAUUUGAAGAAACCAUAGGUAAUUU